CCACCGCGCGCGCGCGCGCUCACGAUCGCGGAACAACACAGCACUGGAGAAAGAAGAUCUGUCCAGCGAGCAAAGGCCAGCCGAGGGAGAUCGUGUGUCAGCCAUCUCGCGCCGCCACGAAAACACGACAGUCGUUCGUCAUGCCUUGGAUAUAACAACAAAUCCUCCACGGCACCCGCUUUAUAUAACGCAAGAAGGCAGCUGCAAGGACACGAGGAUGUGAAAGAGCCAGUGCAGCGCGACUUCACGUAGUGCAGAGGAGCCAAUGCCAAAAAAUCAAACUACAUUGGCAUGUUAUUUGGACAAGAAAACUAGUAUGGACAACCCAGCACGUGCAUUUCUCAGCACCCAGUCAACUGCCAAAAGUGACUCAAACACAGGCCACCAGUGGAGCUCGGCUGUACCACUGCAGUGCUGCGGAAAUUGCCUUCACCAGCGGCUUUGCAACAGCUGUUUCGCAGCUAGUCGGUAUGUGUUAAUUUAUAAUUAUGUUGGGAUGGGCUAGUAUUAUGGACCACUGCUACUCUGUAUUGUGACAGAUCCAUAUGAUAAGGGAUGUAAUGGGCACAGCGAAAACCUUUGAAUUUUUUACUAUGGUACAUAAACAGGCUCUCCUUUUCGUCACUGGAGCAGGAGAGAAGGGCAUGCAGGCACUCCUGAAUGUACAUAUAUUUCAAAACAUGAGAGAGACACACACACACACAAACUAAAGGCAGGGACGUUCCAUCUUUCAUCUUGAAUUGAAUUGUGCAGCGCAAAAAUACAACACAGACCACAGAGAAGCACACAUGUUAACAGGUUUGAUACACACGUUAGUUCAACAGAUUUGAUACUUCAAGUGUGCUAUUUUACACAAGGGGGAAGGGAAAGGGGAGAAAAUCUGAAAAAAAAAGUGGAGUGGAAAAAAAGGAAUCAUGCCAAAAAGCAUGAGAAGCAUCGCGCAGCCAGGAUCACCAGCAGGACAUCUAAAAAGCACUCUGAUAAAAUUACAUCCAGACAACCUUACGUAUAGUUUGUUUCAAUCAACUCAGAUCACAUGCAGCCAUUACUGCUAUCAAGUUGUUUCCUUAUGUCAUAUGAGGGAAUGAUGUGGGCCCAAAAAACUGUUUAGAGCUGAAGGAUUAUGUUCCAUUCUAGCCUCAUUGCCUGCUUUUUUAUCAUAU